GUCCGUUCAUCCCUUCGGGGACGCAUGAGAACUAAGCAUGGAACGGGGCUUAGU
ncrna:unclassified sequences Glutamine-II riboswitch (downstream peptide RNA)